UGCAGUCGAGCGAACUGAUUAGAAGCUUGCUUCUAUGACGUUAGCGGCGGACGGGUGAGUAACACGUGGGCAACCUGCCUGUAAGACUGGGAUAACUUCGGGAAACCGAAGCUAAUACCGGAUAGGAUCUUCUCCUUCAUGGGAGAUGAUUGAAAGAUGGUUUCGGCUAUCACUUACAGAUGGGCCCGCGGUGCAUUAGCUAGUUGGUGAGGUAACGGCUCACCAAGGCAACGAUGCAUAGCCGACCUGAGAGGGUGAUCGGCCACACUGGGACUGAGACACGGCCCAGACUCCUACGGGAGGCAGCAGUAGGGAAUCUUCCGCAAUGGACGAAAGUCUGACGGAGCAACGCCGCGUGAGUGAUGAAGGCUUUCGGGUCGUAAAACUCUGUUGUUAGGGAAGAACAAGUACGAGAGUAACUGCUUGUACCUUGACGGUACCUAACCAGAAAGCCACGGCUAACUACGUGCCAGCAGCCGCGGUAAUACGUAGGUGGCAAGCGUUAUCCGGAAUUAUUGGGCGUAAAGCGCGCGCAGGCGGUUUCUUAAGUCUGAUGUGAAAGCCCACGGCUCAACCGUGGAGGGUCAUUGGAAACUGGGGAACUUGAGUGCAGAAGAGAAAAGCGGAAUUCCACGUGUAGCGGUGAAAUGCGUAGAGAUGUGGAGGAACACCAGUGGCGAAGGCGGCUUUUUUGGUCUGUAACUGACGCUGAGGCGCGAAAGCGUGGGGA
rnacentral:rRNA from 2 species